rnacentral:rRNA from 1 species
AAUCAACGCUGGCGGCGUGCCUAACACAUGCAAGUCGCACGAGAAAGGGACUUCGGUCCUGAGUACAGUGGCGCACGGGUGAGUAACACGUGAAUAAUCUACCUUCGAGUGGGGAAUAACUGAGAGAAAUCUUAGCUAAUACCGCAUAAUACCCACGGGUCAAAGCAGCAAUGCGCUUGAAGAGGAGUUCGCGGCAGAUUAGUUAGUUGGCAGGGUAAUGGCCACCAAGACGAUGAUCUGUAUCCGGCCUGAGAGGGCGCACGGACACACUGGAACUGAAACACGGUCCAGACUCCUACGGGAGGCAGCAGUGGGGAAUUUUG